UUAAGUGAAUAAGGGCGCACGGUGGAUGCCUUGGCACUAGGAGCCGAUGAAGGACGGGACUAACACCGAUAUGCUUUGGGGAGCUGUACGUAAGCUAUGAUCCAGAGAUUUCCGAAUGGGGGAACCCAACAUCUUUAAUAGGAUGUUACGAUUGUGUGAAUACAUAGCACAUUCGAGGUAGACGCAGAGAACUGAAACAUCUAAGUACCUGCAGGAAGAGAAAGAAAAUUCGAUUCCCUGAGUAGCGGCGAGCGAAACGGGAAAAGCCCAAACCAGCAAGCUUGCUUGUUGGGGUUGUAGGACUCCAAUAUGGUAGUUCUUUCAGAUAGUCGAAUGACUUGGAAAAGUCAGUCAAAGAGGGUAAAAACCCCGUAGACGAAAUGUGGAAGACACCUAGGAGGAUCCUGAGUACGGCGGAACACGAGAAAUUCCGUCGGAAUCCGGGAGGACCAUCUCCCAAGGCUAAAUACUCCCUAGUGACCGAUAGUGAACCAGUACCGUGAGGGAAAGGUGAAAAGCACCCCGGAAGGGGAGUGAAAUAGAUCCUGAAACCGUGUGCCUACAACAAGUCAAAGCCCGUUAAUGGGUGAUGGCGUGCCUUUUGUAGAAUGAACCGGCGAGUUACGAUUGCAUGCGAGGUUAAGUUGAAGAGACGGAGCCGCAGCGAAAGCGAGUCUGAAUAGGGCGUUUGAGUAUGUAGUCGUAGACCCGAAACCAUGUGAUCUACCCAUGUCCAGGUUGAAGGUGCGGUAAAACGCACUGGAGGACCGAACCCACGUACGUUGAAAAGUGCGGGGAUGAGGUGUGGGUAGCUGAGAAAUUCCAAACGAACUUGGAGAUAGCUGGUUCUCUCCGAAAUAGCUUUAGGGCUAGCCUCGGAAUUGAGAAUGAUGGAGGUAGAGCACUGUUUGGACUAGGGGCCCAUCUCGGGUUACCGAAUUCAGAUAAACUCCGAAUGCCAUUCAUUCAUAUCCGGGAGUCAGACUGUGAGUGAUAAGAUCCAUAGUCGAAAGGGAAACAGCCCAGACCACCAGCUAAGGUCCCAAAAUAUAUGUUAAGUGGAAAAGGAUGUGGGGUUGCACAGACAACUAGGAUGUUGGCUUAGAAGCAGCCACCAUUUAAAGAGUGCGUAAUAGCUCACUAGUCGAGUGACCCUGCGCCGAAAAUGUACCGGGGCUAAACAUAUUACCGAAGCUGUGGAGUACACCUUUAGGUGUAUUGGUAGGAGAGCGUUCUAAGGGCGUUGAAGGCAGAUCGUGAGGACUGCUGGAGCGCUUAGAAGUGAGAAUGCCGGUAUGAGUAGCGAAAGACAGGUGAGAAUCCUGUCCACCGAAUGACUAAGGUUUCCUGGGGAAGGCUCGUCCGCCCAGGGUUAGUCGGGACCUAAGCCGAGGCCGACAGGCGUAGGCGAUGGAUAACAGGUUGAUAUUCCUGUACCCGUUGUUUUUGUUUGAGCAAUGGAGGGACGCAGGAGGCUAAGGAAUGCAGACGAUCGGAAAUGUCUGUCCAAGCAGUAAGUCUGAAGAGGAGUCAAAUGCUUCUUUUCUUAAGGACAAGCUGUGAUGGGGAGGGAAAUAAUAGUACCGAAGUUCCUGAUGUCACACUGCCGAGAAAAGCUUCUAGUGAGAAAACAGCGGCCCGUACCGCAAACCGACACAGGUAGUCGAGGAGAGAAUCCUAAGGUGAGCGAGAGAACUCUCGUUAAGGAACUCGGCAAAAUGACCCCGUAACUUCGGGAGAAGGGGUGCUGAUCAUACGAUCAGCCGCAGUGAAUAGGCCCAAGCGACUGUUUAUCAAAAACACAGGUCUCUGCAAAAUCGUAAGAUGAAGUAUAGGGGCUGACGCCUGCCCGGUGCUGGAAGGUUAAGAGGAGUGCUUAGCGCAAGCGAAGGUACGAAUUGAAGCCCCAGUAAACGGCGGCCGUAACUAUAACGGUCCUAAGGUAGCGAAAUUCCUUGUCGGGUAAGUUCCGACCCGCACGAAAGGCGUAACGAUUUGGGCACUGUCUCAACGAGAGACUCGGUGAAAUUUUAGUACCUGUGAAGAUGCAGGUUACCC
rnacentral:rRNA from 1 species